GAUGAACGCUGGCGGCGUGCCUAAUACAUGCAAGUCGAGCGAACAGACGAGGAGCUUGCUCCUCUGACGUUAGCGGCGGACGGGUGAGUAACACGUGGAUAACCUACCUAUAAGACUGGGAUAACUUCGGGAAACCGGAGCUAAUACCGGAUAAUAUAUUGAACCGCAUGGUUCAAUAGUGAAAGACGGUUUUGCUGUCACUUAUAGAUGGAUCCGCGCCUCAUUAGCUAGUUGGUAAGUUAACGUCUUACCAAGGCGACGAUGCGUAGCCGACCUGAGAGGGUGAUCGGCCACACUGGAACUGAGACACGGUCCAGCCUCCUACGGGAGGCAGCAGUAGGGAAUCUUCCGCAAUGGGCGAAAGCCUGACGGAGCAACGCCGCGUGAGUGAUGAAGGUCUUCGGAUCGUAAAACUCUGUUAUUAGGGAAGAACAAAUGUGUAAGUAACUAUGCACGUCUUGACGGUACCUAAUCAGAAAGCCACGGCUAACUACGUG
rnacentral:rRNA from 1 species